CGGAUUGCAGGCUGCAACUCGCCUGCAUGAAGCUGGAAUUGCUAGUAAUCGCGGAUCAGCAAGCCGCGGUGAAUACGUUCCCGGGCCUUGUACACACCGCCCGUCACACCAUGAGAGUCGGGAACACCCGAAGUCCGUAGUCUAACCGCAAGGGGGCGCGGCCGAAGGUGGGUCCGGUAACUGGGGUGAAGUCGUAACAAGGUAAC
rnacentral:rRNA from 1 species